rnacentral:lncRNA from 1 species
GUUAGGAUUGAGAUGUCUAUUUGACCUUCAAAUUGAAAUGUAAAGUAGGAAUUGGAUAUUAUAGUCUGGGGAAUCCAGAGAAGUGCAGGACCAAAAUAACAAUUUAGGGGUCAUUUGUGUACAAUAACUAGAAGAAGAAAAUAACAGAGUUCCCAGAAUAUAUGGCCAGUUGGAUAUCAAGACUAAAAAUAUUAAAAAUGAAAAUAUGAUCAAUGGCAUCAAGCACCGCUGAAAGGUCAAGCAAAUAAGAAUUGAGGGCUGACUACAGGUUUUGAACAUAUGGAAGACACUGGUGACCUUAGGGGAGACACAAGAGAUAAUUUGGAAACAGUGGACAAAAACAAUUUUGAGAUAUUUUUCUGUAAAGGGAAACAGAGCAAUAUGAUGGUUGUUGGAAAAAGAAGUGGAGAUUGAGGUUAUGGUUAUUAUUUUUAUUAUUAUUUAGGGAGGCCUGACAAGCUGUUUGUUGACAUAAGGGAAAGAUACAUUACAGAUGAAGGAGAGAUGAAGGAGAGAGAAAAGAUAAUUGCUAAGAAUUAUCCUGGACUAUGUGAGACAGAAACAGAAUAUAUGAAUGGGAGGUCGAUUUUCACUAAAUUUACUCACGAUUUAUUCAGAGUAAUAGGAAAAAUGUCAAAUAUAAGUGUAUCAAUAUUGAGUGUAAUUUUGGUACACUUAUACAUUUUUCCUAGUACUAUUUCCAUAAGUGAUAGAAAAAAUGUCAAAUAUAAGUGUAUCAAUUUGAGUGUAAGAGCUUGUGAGAUCUUCAAUUUUUCGAUUUUUAUGCGAUAGGACUAUUUGGAAAAGAUUUUGGUGGCUGGGACUGUAGUUGUUUUGACAUUAAUGGUGAUGAGGUAUAAGAUACAGGCAUCAAAGUGACAGUUAAGGAGGACUGUUUCCUAUUUCCUCAGUUUAAUCUUCUCAGGUGAGUUUGAAGGUGCCAAAUAACAUAGAUUCCAGGAUUUGGAAAGGCCACACAGGUGUACAGUGAAAUAAUGAAGGAUUUAAAAGUUGUGUUGGAGAGAAAUAGAGUGAGCACAGACAUAAGAUUUCAAGGAAUAAGGAGGAGUAAACCACAGUCAGUGCUACUGGCAACAAGAAAAGAUUGACUCAUGAUAUGAAAGUCCAAGCUGAAGGCGGAGAGGGAAGGCUCUAGAAAAAGCAAUGCAGAACGAAGAAGUCACAUCCGUCACUUUCAAGCCUAGGUGUAUGAGGUGUGGGGGAGGAAAGCACAGGCAUCCCUGAGAAGCCUGUUGGAGAAUCAGCAUCCUCAGGGGAGAUUCGAGUUUCAAUCGGAGCAAGAAGCAUCCCAGAGGCACUUUAACCAAACCCUGGAGAGAGAAGAAAUAAGUAUAUUACUGUGUCGUCUUUGCACAGCAAGAACUUAGCAUCAUCCUCUUGUAUUUUGGAUUUUGUUUCCUAUUUCCUCAGUUUAAUCUUCUCAGCCAUAGGUCAUAAAGAUGGCGAUGGUUAUUUCCUUCCUCAUACCCAUGGUUUGUUACAAUGUGACUUUGCGGUUCUUCCCAUCAGUAAACAGAAGCCAUUUUCUUACUCCUUGCCUCUGGAUGGGCCUUGUGGCUUGCUUUGAGCAAUAGAACGCAUCAGAAGGUGACCUCAUGCCAGUUUCAUGCCUUGGCUUCAGGAGGCCUUGAAUUCUCUGCUGCUCCUUAGGAAUCUUCUGAGCCACUGCUUAACAAGCUCCAACCUCUCCAGCUGGAAGAUGAGGCAUAAUACAGAGGAGAGGCAAACUGUCCUAAAGAGACUACCCUAAGCCAACCAGUCCAGAUGACAGGAGGUUGACCUUGACACAUGUGUAAGCCCAGCCAAGGUCAGCCAAACCUAGUACAGAUCAGAAAAACCAUCUAUCAAUGCUCAGCCCAAAUUUCCAACCCACAGAAAUAUGAAUUAAAUAAAUGAUUGUUGUUUAAACCAU